ACGGGAGGCAGCAGUGGGGGAUAUUGCACAAUGGGGGAAACCCUGAUGCAGCGACGCCGCGUGAGCGAUGAAGUAUUUCGGUAUGUAAAGCUCUAUCAGCAGGGAAGAAAAUGACGGUACCUGACUAAGAAGCUCCGGCUAAAUACGUGCCAGCAGCCGCGGUAAUACGGAGGAUGCAAGCGUUAUCCGGAUUUAUUGGGUUUAAAGGGUGCGUAGGCGGAAGAGUAAGUCAGUGGUGAAAUACCCUCGCUCAACGAGGGGGCUGCCAUUGAUACUGCUUUUCUAGAGUGCGAACGGCGCCGGCGGAAUGUGUCAUGUAGCGGUGAAAUGCUUAGAGAUGACACAGAACACCGAUCGCGAAGGCAGCUGGCGAGCACGACACUGACGCUGAGGCACGAAGGUGCGGGGAUCAAACAGGAUUAGAUACCCUGGUA
rnacentral:rRNA from 1 species